GCCAGGGUGGUGCAGUGGUUUGGGCAUUAGACUAUGACUCUGGAGAACAGGGUCCAACUCCCUGGUCAGCCA